rnacentral:rRNA from 1 species
CCUACGGGAGGCAGCAGUGGGGAAUAUUGCACAAUGGGGGAAACCCUGAUGCAGCGACGCCGCGUGAGUGAAGAAGUAUUUCGGUAUGUAAAGCUCUAUCAGCAGGGAAGAAGAAAGACGGUACCUGACUAAGAAGCCCCGGCUAACUACGUGCCAGCAGCCGCGGUAAUACGUAGGGGGCAAGCGUGAUCCGGAUUUACUGGGUGUAAAGGGAGCGUAGACGGCGGUGCAAGUCUGAAGUGAAAGCCCAGGGCUCAACCCUGGGACUGCUUUGGAAACUGUGGAGGUAGAGGGCGGGAGAGGUAAGUGGAAUGCCUAGUGGAGCGGUGAAAUGCGUAGAUAUUAGGAGGAACACCAGUGGCGAAGGCGGCUUACUGGACAGUAACGGACGUUGAGGCUGGAAAGCGUGGGGAGCAAACAGGAUUAGAGUAGUC